GGCAUGGUGACUGAGUGGUAAAGUGCUUGGCUUCCGAAACAAGGGAUCCCAGGUUUUAAUCCUGGUGAAGACU
rnacentral:tRNA from 1 species